rnacentral:rRNA from 1 species
UGGCUUUUAAAUGGAGUCAGGUAUGAAUGGAAUCACGGAGUUUAACUGUCUCUGAACUAUUUUAUAGAAAUUACUUUAUAGGUGAAAAAGCCUAUAUUAGGAUAAAGGACGAGAAGACCCUUAGAGUUUUAUUUAAUGUGAAUUAUAUAUUUAUAACAAUUUAGUUGGGGCAACAUAAGAACAGAUAAAAUGUAACUUCUUGAAAUUUAUUUAUCGAUUUUUAUAAAUAUGAAUAAACUACCUUAGGGAUAACAGCAUAAUUUAAUAUAUAAGUUUGUGACCUCGAUGUUGGACUAGGGAACUAAUAGGCUAGCCGCUUAUUAGAAAGGUUCUGUUCGAACUAUAAAU